rnacentral:rRNA from 1 species
GUUCCACUGUCUCCUUUCUCUAAUCAGUGAAACUAAUCUCCCCGUGAAGAAGCGAGGAUAUUAUUAUAAGACGAGAAGACCCCAUGGAGCUUUAAACCCAAUUAUAUCCCUAACCUCUAUUACCACUUAACCACUUAGAAUUUAUAUAAUUGGUUUUAGGUUGGGGCGACCACGGAGUAUAAAUAAACCUCCACGAUGAACGGAACAACCCCCUUAUCUAAGAAUUACACCUCUAAGAAUUAGUAUACUAACAUAAAAUGACCCAUUAUUGAUCAACGAACCAAGUUACCCUGGGGAUAACAGCGCAAUCCAUUUUAAGAGCCCCUAUCGACAAAUGGG